rnacentral:rRNA from 1 species
ACUCCUACGGGAGGCAGCAGUGGGGAAUAUUGGGCAAUGGGCGAAAGCCUGAUCCAGCAAUGCCGCGUGAGUGAUGAAGGUCCUUAGGGUUGUAAAGCUCUUUUACCAGGGAUGAUAAUGACAGUACCUGGAGAAUAAGCUCCGGCUAACUCCGUGCCAGCAGCCGCGGUAAGUGCCAGCAGCCGCGGUAAU